UAUUUAAGCUCCCAGGACUGUAGAAGAUUGGCAUUGACUCAGGGAUCUUGCAAUAACAACUCAUAGUUUGGUGGGAGGAAAUAAAACUCAGUGAUUUAACUAAACUACUCUCUUUUAAACAGGACCCUCCACUUUUCCACCAGUUUGUCCACCGGUGAAAAGGAGAAGCCAGCCAAGAACCAGCAGCUUCUGGCUACCUUGAUCAGAAGGUUGAUGAAGGCAAUGAAACAAAGAUGGAAAAACACAUCACACAGGCCCUGACCAGAUGCCAGCAUCUUGAUAUUGGACUUCCCAGCCUUCAGAACUGUGUGACUGACUAGUUGCAGGAAAACAAGCUCAGGGCUCCCACUGAUUCUACAUUUUGAUAAGGCUCCAGUCAAGCAACCCACCUUAUCAAGUGGACCAGGCACAGCUCCUACUUAUCCCUGAGUAGUGGGUAUCAGUUUCCUGCUAACCUCGGAAUUGUUCAAAGCCCAUCACAUUCUCAUGCAGGAACCAGGGAGCACCUCACCCUCUUGUUGCCACAAAGCUUGCCACCCACAGCCCCUGCCUGUUCACCCUGCUCCUGAGGGCAACCCCUGUAUGGCCAGCAUCCCAUGCUGUGUUCACCUCUCCCAAGCUGUGAGUGUAUGUGAAUAAUAACUGCCGUCAAUCGCAUCUGUUAAGCAUCGAGUGUAAUGUGUUUGGUCAUCCUCAUAAUUCUAGUGUGGAAUGUCUCCCUCACCAAUGGGGUGAACAGGAGGGAAUGAAAACAAUGUGUAAAAUAUUUAGACACCGCAAGAUACAUAUUUAGAGCCUGGCAAAUGUUAGUUAAGGCCAUUAUUGCUAUUAUUUUGCAAAAGGAUAAUAAUUUGGUUUUCUUUUAACAAAAUUUGUUUGGGCAGAAUGCUUAGCUCAUAGUGUUAUUCUUAGGUUCCUCCAAACAGCUUUUCUGGAAUUUUGUUUCCCUCAUUAGCAAUUACAAAGAUAUGCUAAUGCUCUGCACCAAGUGGCAGCUACAUGCUUGAGACCAACACUGAAAAUCAGUCAUGGAAUCACUGCAUAUCUGAACAAGGGCCACGAGAGGAGGCACAGAUGGGUCAAUUGACUUGAGCAGAGCCACCCAGCAAAUUCAGUGUCGGAGUAUGGUAACUAGAUCUCCUGAUCCAACCAUCCUUCCCUGCACCCUCCCAUCUAGGCUAAUGAGGAGAAAUGUAAUCGCGGUGGUAAUUGCAGGCAAAGAUGAGCAUCACUUGGUAAAGCAAUAUGUGUACUUGAGUUGGCCAUACGGAAAAUCUAGUGCAGGAUAUGGGGGUGAAUGGUCAGUUGCUGUGUGUCAUUGGUGGGAUGGAAUCUAUGGCCUUCUUGGCUAUUCUUUACAUGAAACAUUUCCUGGGGGUGAUGGUCCAGUUAAAAGUCCUCUUAAAGAUAAAAUAAAACUAACUCAAACCA